rnacentral:rRNA from 1 species
CUCCUGGGAAGUCCUCGUGUUGCACCCCUCUCUUUCUCUUCGCAUUUUUUUUGUUAGGAUUAUCGUUUACGGCGGUCAAGCACGCUACCUUUGUAUGCACCCUUUCAUCUUCUUCACAUUUUUUUUGUUGGGCUUAUCAUUUACAUCGGUCCAGGAUGCUCAAUUUCUUAGCUUAGCCUGCCCCUGGCCAAAAAUAGGAGCCGCUAAUCUCGUUUUGGGUGCUAAAGCGUCGCGACGACUUCGAAAUCCACGGAAGCCCCUCUGGUUGCACCUUUCCAGCAUUAAAGUGCAUCGUUGCAUUGGAUCCUUUUAUAAGAAUUAAACGCGCUUAUGCUGAUGGGUGCAAUCAUGCCAACUCUAAUGCACCGGA